CUGCUCGAGAGUCCUCAAGCUCUCUAUGGCUUCAUGCAGGGCUUUUUGCUGCGUCUCCCCAGCUGUGGAAAAUACCGGAAAUACUGCAGCCAUCACAACGCACACUUCGAAGAGGGGAAGACCAGUCCAACCUACUGCAAACUGGGUGACGCGGUGAGUGACGCAUUCUGUUAAUAAAUUGUUAGUAAUAGCUGUUAUUUCUAUAAAAUUAUUAUUUUGCCCUUUCAAAUAUACGAUUCUACUAUUAUCAUUCCAACAUUACUAAUUUUUCUUAUUUAUUUUUAA